GAUGGACGCUGGCGGCGUGCCUAAUACAUGCAAGUCGAACGCACAGCGAAAGGUGCUUGCACCUUUCAAGUGAGUGGCGAACGGGUGAGUAACACGUGGACAACCUGCCUCAAGGCUGGGGAUAACAUUUGGAAACAGAUGCUAAUACCGAAUAAAACUCAGUGUCGCAUGACACAAAGUUAAAAGGCGCUUUGGCGUCACCUAGAGAUGGAUCCGCGGUGCAUUAGUUAGUUGGUGGGGUAAAGGCCUACCAAGACAAUGAUGCAUAGCCGCGUUGAGGGACUGCUCGGCCACAUUGGGACUGAGACACGGCCCAAACUCCUACGGGAGGCUGCAGUAGGGAAUCUUCCACGAUGGGCGAAAGCCGGAUGGAGCAACGCCGCGUGUGUGAUGAAGGCUUUCGGGUCGUAAAGCACUGUUGUAUGGGAAGAACAGCUAGAAUAGGGAAUGAUUUUAGUUUGACGGUACCAUACCAGAAAGGGACGGCUAAAUACGUGCCAGCCGCCGCCGUAA
rnacentral:rRNA from 1 species